rnacentral:rRNA from 1 species
GACGAACGCUGGCGGCGUGCUCAACACAUGCAAGUCGAACGAUGAAGCUGGAGCUUGCUCCGGUGGAUUAGUGGCGAACGGGUGAGUAACACGUGAGCAAUCUGCCCUUCACUCUGGGAUAACUGCGGGAAACUGUAGCUAAUACCGGAUACGAGACCUUGGGGCAUCCCAGGGUCUGGAAAGAAUUUCGGUGAAGGAUGAGCUCGCGGCCUAUCAGCUAGUUGGUGAGGUAAUGGCUCACCAAGGCGACGACGGGUAGCCGGCCUGAGAGGGGGACCGGCCACACUGGGACUGAGACACGGCCCAGACUCCUACGGGAGGCAGCAGUGGGGAAUAUUGCACAAUGGGCGAAAGCCUGAUGCAGCAACGCCGCGUGAGGGAUGAAGGCCUUCGGGUUGUAAACCUCUUUUAGUAGGGAAGAAGCGCAAGUGACGGUACCUACAGAAAAAGCACCGGCUAACUACGUGCCAGCCGCCGCGGUAA